rnacentral:lncRNA from 1 species
UUCAGAAAAAUGAAAAAAAAAUAUAGAAAGAAAACACUAUUUCCAAGUUGUCUUCUGCUUUUAUCUGGGAAGUGAAGACAAAUAAGGAAAGAAAAAGAAGCUCUGAAAUGAAAGAGGAGAGACACCAAAGCUGAUAGGAAAAGUGCAAAGCUGUCUCCCAGUCAAAGAGAAAUUGGAACGGCUGCUGGCAUGUUGAAGUGUUGCACUGGAAGAGGCAUUCUGCAGGCAUAGCCAAGGUGGCAAGAACAUGGAAAAGGAUGCUGUUCUGCAUGAUGUCAAUGGAGAUAUCCAGUACUGGGACAAAACCACAAAAGUAAAGCACUGCAAAACCAGAAUAUCGAGCAGGAAGAUCUUCAGCUGAUAAUGCCCUCUUUGCUCAGUACGAAGACAGCAUUUGCCUUGAUGAAUGUGUUACCUAUGGAAAAGGCUCCACCUUUCUGCUGACAUCUGAGGCCUGACAGGCAAGUUAAACGUUUAAAAACUGCACAACAUUGUUUAUAUUUUGCAGCGGAUCUGUUGAAUAGCAGAUUCCUAGAAAAAUGAAGCAUUGUUCAGCCUUAGAUUACUUGAGCUUGCCAGAUAAAUUCAGCUGGGAAAAGAAGGCAAGACUAAGGGAAGAAUCCAACAGGCCAGCAUUUAGGGUAUUCUGAUGUUUGUUGCUUAACCCACUAGACUGUACAGGAUGUUGGCUUUCAUUGCUCUUAAGUUCUGCUCUUGAAACAGUCUCUCUACAAAUAAACAAGCAGAGUUCUAGGACCUGCUUCCCA